UACAGAGGUCUCAAGCGUUUGUUCGGAUUCAUUGGGCGUAAAGGGUGCGUAGGCGGCGCGGUAAGUCGGGUGUGAAAUCUUGGAGCUUAACUCCGAAACUGCAUUCGAUACUGCCGUGCUUGAGGACUGGAGAGGAGACUGGAAUUUACGGUGUAGCGGUGAAAUGCGUAGAUAUCGUAAGGAAGACCAGUGGCGAAGGCGGGUCUCUGGGCUAACACUGACGCUCAUGCACGAAAGCGUGGGGAGCAAACAGG
rnacentral:rRNA from 1 species